UUCGAAAUAAUUAAUUGAUCCGAGAAGGCAUUUUUUUGUUUCGAAAUCCAAAUCAUAUUCGUUACUUCUAGUGGAUUUUCGAGUAUUCAUCGACAGGACCAAAUAACAAAUGGAGAUGAAAUUAGUUGGAAUUUACCCAAUAGAGAUAUCUCAAUUUUUCUAAAUACAAGGACUAAAUUUUUACACAAAAAUGGGAAUAGAUUCAUUGGUUCGAUACGAUACCUUAGUUAUAGAAUUUGUGUUCAGAUAAAUGUCUGAUAAAAUCCACGAAUGCAG
rnacentral:misc_RNA from 1 species